CUCCUUUCUUCAGCUUAGGUCCUGACUGUUGGCAAGAAUGAAGAUGAAUCCUAUUCUGAGUCUCUUUCCUCUCUUCCACCCUAGCUUGCCAGCAAAGCACGGACAGAGAAGGAGGAGAAGCUGAGCCAGGCCUAUGCAAUCAGUGCUGGUGUCUCUCUAGAGGGCCAGCAGCUCUUCCAGACCAUUCACAAGACCAUUAAAGACUGUAAAUGGCAAGAAAAAAACAUCGUAGUCAUGGAAGAAGUUGUUAUUACACCCCCAUAUCAAGUGGAAAACUGUAAAGGCAAAGAGGGGAGUGCACUGAGCCAUGUACGCAAAAUAGUUGAAAAACAUUUUAGAGACGUGGAAAGCCAAAAGAUACUGCAACGUUCACAAGCCCAGCAACCACAGAAGGAGGCUGCCCUGUCAUCCUGAGUCCGUACACAUGGAGGACUCUUCCAGCAUCCAGCCAAGGAGGCGCUGGUGGUGGCUUCAGCGGAGGCAGGCCGGGGGAGGGAAGGGAUCCUAUAUGUCCUGUUGGCUCUUAACAAAGGGUCAGCAUUUCCAAAUCUUAGACUUG
rnacentral:lncRNA from 1 species